rnacentral:lncRNA from 1 species
CACCAGCCAAAAUGCAUCAUAGUUCAUCACUAGGUUCAUCUAAAAAGCACUCGUGCACGCCGCAAAAAUCCAUUACUCCUAAAAGAAUUAGAACACUCUCUCCAAUGAAACACUCACCGGCAUCUUUUUCAGCGAAUGACAACACAACUUCAAGUAAUCCUGAAGACGAUGAUACUACAAUUGUAAAUGAUUUCAAAACAGC